ACUGCACAAAAGCUCUAUUUCUUUCUGAAAAAUCUCAGAUUCCAGAAAUCUUGAGAAAACUUCAAAACUUCUCAUUUUUCUGAUUCUUUACAAGUUUUAAAAUAUGGUUUGAAGGGGAGGAUUUCUCUGUUUCAUUUGGCUGGUUUCCUGGUUUCAAACUAUCUUCAUUUGGUCUGGGUUUAUUGCUGUUUUUGCUGGUUUGCUACUGAAGUUUGGGUUUCCUUUCCUCUUUUGGUUUUCUUGACCUUUAUUUGGUCAUUCCUCUGCCAUAUUUUUUAAUUUCAAGGUCCCUACUUGAAGAUGUUUUUGUGAAUCUGACCCUUCUCACAUGGUCAAACUCAUGAAAUCUUGGCUCAUUCAAAGCUGGAGCAGUAGCAGUUUAGGAACUUCCCCUUUUCAUUUUGUUGCAAUUUAGUUUAAGACACUAAUGUAGUUCAUAUUUUGUACCUUAUUUAAUUCUGGAAUUUAUAAUAAAUUGGACUGGACUUUAUAAA